AGACCCGAAACCCGGUGAUCUAGCCAUGGGCAGGUUGAAGGUUGGGUAACACUAACUGGAGGACCGAACCGACUAAUGUUGAAAAAUUAGCGGAUGACCUGUGGCUGGGGGUGAAAGGCCAAUCAAACCGGGAGAUAGCUGGUUCUCCCCGAAAGCUAUUUAGGUAGCGCCUCGUGAAUUCAUCUCCGGGGGUAGAGCACUGUUUCGGCUAGGGGGCCAUCCCGGCUUACCAACCCGAUGCAAACUGCGAAUACCGGAGAAUGUUAUCACGGGAGACACACGGCGGGUGCUAACGUCCGUCGUGAAGAGGGAAACAACCCAGACCGCCAGCUAAGGUCCCAAAGUCAUGGUUAAGUGGGAAACGAUGUGGGAAGGCCCAGACAGCCAGGAUGUUGGCUUAGAAGCAGCCAUCAUUUAAAGAAAGCGUAAUAGCUCACUGGUCGAGUCGGCCUGCGCGGAAGAUGUAACGGGGCUAAACCAUGCACCGAAGCUGCGGCAGCGACACUCAGGUGUUGUUGGGUAGGGGAGCGUUCUGUAAGCCUGCGAAGGUGGCCUGUGAGGGUUGCUGGAGGUAUCAGAAGUGCGAAUGCUGACAUAAGUAACGAUAAAGCGGGUGAAAAGCCCGCUCGCCGGAAGACCAAGGGUUCCUGUCCAACGUUAAUCGGGGCAGGGUGAGUCGACCCCUAAGGCGAGGCCGAAAGGCGUAGUCGAUGGGAAACGGGUUAAUAUUCCCGUACUUGGUGUUACUGCGAAGGGGGGACGGAGAAGGCUAUGUUGGCCGGGCGACGGUUGUCCCGGUUUAAGCGUGUAGGUGUGUGUUCCAGGUAAAUCCGGUUCACUUUAACACUGAGGCGUGACGACGAGGCACUACGGUGCUGAAGCAACAAAUGCCCUGCUUCCAGGAAAAGCCUCUAAGCAUCAGGUAACAUCAAAUCGUACCCCAAACCGACACAGGUGGUCAGGUAGAGAAUACCAAGGCGCUUGAGAGAACUCGGGUGAAGGAACUAGGCAAAAUGGUGCCGUAACUUCGGGAGAAGGCACGCUGACACGUAGGUGAAGUGAUUUACUCACGGAGCUGAAGUCAGUCGAAGAUACCAGCUGGCUGCAACUGUUUAUUAAAAACACAGCACUGUGCAAACACGAAAGUGGACGUAUACGGUGUGACGCCUGCCCGGUGCCGGAAGGUUAAUUGAUGGGGUCAGCGCAAGCGAAGCUCCUGAUCGAAGCCCCGGUAAACGGCGGCCGUAACUAUAACGGUCCUAAGGUAGCGAAAUUCCUUGUCGGGUAAGUUCCGACCUGCACGAAUGGCGUAAUGAUGGCCAGGCUGUCUCCACCCGAGACUCAGUGAAAUUGAACUCGCUGUGAAGAUGCAGUGUACCCGCGGCAAGACGGAAAGACCCCGUGAACCUUUACUAUAGCUUGACACUGAACAUUGAGCCUUGAUGUGUAGGAUAGGUGGGAGGCUUUGAAGUGUGGACGCCAGUCUGCAUGGAGCCGACCUUGAAAUACCACCCUUUAAUGUUUGAUGUUCUAACGUGGACCCGUGAUCCGGGUUGCGGACAGUGUCUGGUGGGUAGUUUGACUGGGGCGGUCUCCUCCUAAAGAGUAACGGAGGAGCACGAAGGUUGGCUAAUCCUGGUCGGACAUCAGGAGGUUAGUGCAAUGGCAUAAGCCAGCUUGACUGCGAGCGUGACGGCGCGAGCAGGUGCGAAAGCAGGUCAUAGUGAUCCGGUGGUUCUGAAUGGAAGGGCCAUCGCUCAACGGAUAAAAGGUACUCCGGGGAUAACAGGCUGAUACCGCCCAAGAGUUCAUAUCGACGGCGGUGUUUGGCACCUCGAUGUCGGCUCAUCACAUCCUGGGGCUGAAGUAGGUCCCAAGGGUAUGGCUGUUCGCCAUUUAAAGUGGUACGCGAGCUGGGUUUAGAACGUCGUGAGACAGUUCGGUCCCUAUCUGCCGUGGGCGCUGGAGAACUGAGGGGGGCUGCUCCUAGUACGAGAGGACCGGAGUGGACGCAUCACUGGUGUUCGGGUUGUCAUGCCAAUGGCACUGCCCGGUAGCUAAAUGCGGAAGAGAUAAGUGCUGAAAGCAUCUAAGCACGAAACUUGCCCCGAGAUGAGUUCUCCCUGAGACUUAGAGUCUCCUGAAGGAACGUUGAAGACGACGACGUUGAUAGGCCGGGUGUGUAAGCGCAGCGAUGCGUUGAGCUAACCGGUACUAAUGAACCGUGAGGCUUAACCUU
rnacentral:rRNA from 1 species